GGUGCGCUGGAAGUAAAUGGCCUCGAUCUUGUGGGAACUGAUCAUCCGGAGCAGCGGCAGCAUGAGCAGGAGUCGUCCAAACCUGGCUAUCUGGGCAGUAAACUGCGUCUUUGUGUGCUGCGACAACAUGACCUGAUUCUCAAUCUGGGCGGGAUCUUUCAAACCACGGGUCUCUGGUCUGAAGAGGACAAUGGCCUUGAGGCAGGCGAAUUCUGCCGGAUCGACCAGGACCGCCUUAUAUUUACAGAAAAUCUCGUGCAGGGACCGAACAUCCGCUGCCAGCUGUUGGGAAAAAUACUUCUACGUUUGAAUGGGACAUAAGAUGGAACCAGAGAUCUUUGCUUACCUCUUCCUUGGUUAUGCAAGUGUCGCCAUUGGCGUUGUUCUCAAGAUUGUUGCAAUGUUCCGCCACCGAGAACAGAGCACAGCCUGUGGGAUCCAAAGGAAUGCACCACUGUAUGGCAUUGAGCAGGAACAGUUCCGACCACGAUUCCUCCAGCAAGAUCACCUAGAUUGGAUGACGUUUAAAUGACUGCACUACGUUUUCACCUUGUUUUGGUUACCUGAUCUCGAAAGGAUAGUCGGGCAAAGCUGGGCAGGUUCUUGGCCCACUUGACGGCCAUGAAGAGCAGCCUGGCACUCGUCUCGUAGACCGUUUCGUGCUGGUGGGUGUAGAGAUUGGGCGACAUAAACUGCGGCAUGAUGAAACUGGAGUCGGAUCUGUUGACGUUGUGUGGCUCCUCGUCAUUGGUAACAUCUAUAGAGUCGUCUGCAAAUAUUUCAUAAAUAUUUUGUCCUUUUGAAAGAUUAAGUAACACCAACCAUCAUUGUCGUUUUCCAUUGUGGGACUGGAGGAGCUAAUGGAGGAGACACUCCCGCACUUCUUCUCGUUGGCGGCCUCUGGCGCCGGAGAACUGGGAUCAAUGGAGUGAUUGCUGCUGGAGUUGGUCGAGUGGGAAAUGUUGCCGCUGCUGCUCAACUCCAGACCGUAGGGCUUUUCCUUCGGCGAGUGGUGCACCCCGCCGCUUCCGCCUCCGGCGGUGAACAUGGGAAAACUGCCGGCUCCCAUGUGAUUCGCCGCCAACUGCAUCGAGGAGGUGAGGUGGUUGUGAUGCAGAAGCCGUCCAGUCGGCAGACUGCCCAGGGCUGUUCACAAGAUUUGGUUAUUAAACUAUCAAACUAUUAUCCUGCGAAAAAGAACUCACAUGGCGGGGGCAGGAGUCCGGAUCCGUAGCAGGGCGGCGACAGUAGCACGGGUGGUCUGCAAAUUGGAGUUGCCCGCAGAUUUCGGGUGAUUAGAUAGAGAGUUAUGCAAAUGACAGCUAGGCCACACCACAUGCCCAUAAAACACUAACCAAAAAAUAUGAUCUUGUGAAAAAUAAAAUAUUUAUAAAUCGAAAAAAGGAAGGAUAAUUAGGGGUCUGCACUUUAAAUAAUACACAGCUACAGAAAUCAGUUAUCAGAAUAAACUAAACGCCAAUUAAAACUUUGAAUAAACUUUUUUCAGUGCACUACACUCACCCAAAAACUCCGACGGCCACAGCGGCCUCGCGCAAUGCCCGCCCGUGCUCCAUCUCCCGCAGCGUCUCCGGCCGUAUAGUGGCCGUGUUGCGGGGCUGUCGCUCAUUUUGCACCGCUGUAAUUGGAAAACAAAUGCAACUAACAUGAGCACUCAAAUUCUAGUCCGGACACGCCCAUUCAGCCCAUGGGCUGUGAGCUGUGGGCCGUGGAGGUGAUUUGGGACGUGUCCGUAAUGAGGAAAUGUCACACUGACAAAAUUGCUUCGGGCUCGCGCAGGUAUCGCCGCCACAUCAGGCGGCACAUCCGCGUGUGCCACGAAUUUUCUCAUCAUCAGCAUACACAUGCAAAAAUACGUGUAUGCCAGCAUCCUGCGGAAAGAAAACACAGCCCACACAGCCAUUGAUGGCAAAUUGGUUUUGUGGUCACGUGCCGCUCACGCCUCCGAAUUGUUUCGCCAUUUGUUUAUGCAACUUCCACCGCACAAUGAGGCUGCCACAGAAGCUACUUGACCGCUAAUGGCGGAUCCACAAACAAUGACACCAUUUUUGUACGUGAACUGAAUCUUUACCAAAUUUUAUCAAAUUAAGCUAUAAUAAAAUAUCUGAAAUUA